CACGGGGGGAGCAAGCGUUGUUCGGAAUUACUGGGCGUAAAGGGCGUGUAGGCGGUUCGAUAAGUGGAAUGUGAAAUGCCCCGGCUCACCCGGGGACCUGCAUCCCAAACUGUCGGACUAGAGUAUGGGAGAGGAUGAGGGAAUUCCUGGUGUAGCGGUGAAAUGCGUAGAUAUCAGGAGGAACACCGGUGGCGAAAGCGCUCAUCUGGCCCAAUACUGACGCUGAGGCGCGAAAGCUAGGGGAGCAAACGGG
rnacentral:rRNA from 1 species